rnacentral:rRNA from 1 species
GACGAACGCUGGCGGCGUGCUUAACACAUGCAAGUCGAACGAAGAGCGAUGGAAGCUUGCUUCUAUCAAUCUUAGUGGCGCACGGGUGAGUAACGCGUAAUCAACCUGCCCUUCAGAGGGGGACAACAGUUGGAAACGACUGCUAAUACCGCAUACGAUCUAAUCUCGGCAUCGAGGAUAGAUGAAAGGUGGCCUCUACAUGUAAGCUAUCACUGAAGGAGGGGAUUGCGUCUGAUUAGCUAGUUGGAGGGGUAACGGCCCACCAAGGCGAUGAUCAGUAGCCGGUCUGAGAGGAUGAAUGGCCACAUUGGGACUGAGACACGGCCCAGACUCCUACGGGAGGCAGCAGUGGGGAAUCUUCCGCAAUGGACGAAAGUCUGACGGAGCAACGCCGCGUGAGUGAUGACGGCCUUCGGGUUGUAAAGCUCUGUUAAUCGGGACGAAAGGCCUUCUUGCGAACAGUUAGAAGGAUUGACGGUACCGGAAUAGAAAGCCACGGCUAACUACGUG